rnacentral:tRNA from 1 species
GCUACCAUAGCUCAGCGGUAGAGCAUUCGUUUCAUAAGCGAGGGGUCCCAGGUUCGAAUCCUGGUGGUAGCA